UACGAAGGGGCGUAGCGUUGCUCGGAAUCACUGGGGUACGGUAAAGGGUGCGUGAGGGCGGGUCUUUAAGUCAGGGGUGAAAUACCUGGAGCUCAACUCCAGUAACUGCCUUGAUACUGAAGAUCUUGAGUCCGGGAGAGGUGAGUGGAACUGCGAGUGUAGAGGUGAAAUUCGUAGAUAUUCGCAAGAACACCCAGUGGCGAAGGCGGCUCACUGGC
rnacentral:rRNA from 1 species